rnacentral:rRNA from 1 species
GGAGUUUGGGCCGUGUCUCAGUCCCAAUGUGGCCGGUCACCCUCUCAGGUCGGCUACUGAUCGUCGGUUUGGUGGGCCGUUACCCCGCCAACUGCCUAAUCAGACGCGGGGCCAUCCCAUACCACCGGAGUUUUUCACACCAGGCCAUGCAGCCCUGUGCGCUUAUGCGGUAUUAGCAGUCGUUUCCAACUGUUGUCCCCCGGUAUGGGGCAGGUUCCCCACGCGUUACUCACCCGUCCGCCACUCAGUCAUAAAUCUCUUCUCCCGAAAGAUCCGAAAUAAAUGCUUCGUUCGACUUGCAUGUGUUAAGCACGCCGCCAGCGUUCAUC